rnacentral:lncRNA from 1 species
UUCAAAAAGCUUACAGAGCGUUUGGGAACAGAAAGCUUCGACUACAGAGCUGUGGGAACAGAGGUUGAUGAGGACAACAGUGCAUUGCCAAUCCACCCACUAAGGGCAACACUCAUCUGACCCUUGGAGUUGACAGGGGGAUUUCAAGAAUAGAAGCCCAGCCAGUUUGUAAGACAAGGGCCUUUGUCGUGAACGGCUGCUUGCCUCCGCCCCAGCUUGUUGCUGUGGUGUUUGGAUUGUGUUCAUCAAGUAGGGUGAAUCACUUAUUAAAGGCCAUCGAAAGGCAACGAACGACGCCAAUAAAGGCAGGAAGGUAGAAGUAUUAGACCGAUUAGUCGACGAUCAAAAAACUUGACCCGGAACGGUGCACUCAAAGUCGGUUCAAAACACGUUACGUUUGUCGGAAAAGGGGCAUAAACGUGGACCAUGAAGUUCCAGUGUUCCAACCGGAGCCUAGUUAAGAAUCGUGUUUUUAACAUGUGGCGACGAGUCCAGCGCAAUUUACGCGUGGGAAUGCGAAGAUUCCUUAUGAACCCGGCCGAGGUGAAGUCAGCAUUAGGCAAGACUCGAAGAAAAUCAUCCUAACAGGAGUAUGUCAUAAAACGAGUCGGAAAGCAACACAAGAAAUUGGUAAAAACAGUCAACCGAGUAAGUGCAUAGUGAUAACUGUCAAAGUUUUACAAGUCAACAAAUUCGACCAAAAAUGGAAGAAUUUAAUCAACACAAGUAUUCUAGCUUCAAAGCCUCGUCGUCUAUACUUCCCCAGAUCGGGUCCCGAUCAGAGUCUCAGUAGCCCCUGCGUGAGCUCCCACUGGCAACCGUGGUGUUAGUAUUCCCUCGGCAGCAGGAAGGGUCGGCAUACUCCUCUUCGGUUGAAGUCGGCCGAUGGAUGGGUGAUAUCGGUCCGGAGAAGCAGGAGUUGGACGGGAGGGGCAGGGGACGACCCAUGCGGGAUGAUCAAGUGGGGUCUGAAAGCUCUUUCAAACAGGCAAGCCUCCUCUUGAAAGACACCGGGAGGGAGCUCGGAAGCUGUCUUCAUACACGUCCCCAGCCCGCUCGAAAGCGCGAUCGAAACAGCUUCUUUACACCUCGCCACAAGCAAAACGCCUUCAGGUCGGCCGCUUCUAGCUGGGCGUGUUCCGUUGAAGGAUCGCGAUCUCGGCCUGCCGACGUGCAUUCCGCGAGCUCGGACUGUUGUGUUUCAAUCCUUUUCGAGGCAACUCGCCUUCUGAUUCGCCUUCUUCAGAUCCCACCACGCCCCGCUUAGCCGGAGUGAGGAAGAUUAAAGUCAGCUGAAAUACUAAAAAGGGGAAAAAAAGAAUAUGAUUAGAAAGAACACACGUGGAUCAGCUCGUUAAUCGGAGUUGAAAGCCUGAAACCUUGAAGUUCUAAACCGGGUCCCCCAACAUAACGAGCUUACCCUGAACUCUGACGUGGGACUCAACAGCAUGAUCCGGACGGCUCUGGGGGGAGCAUCACGCGUUGCCAGCGCACACAGGUCUGUGGUCUAGUUAGAAGUGUAUCCGCGAGGAAUGUUUGCCAAGCUCCACAGCGGAAAAUUGAGGGGCCCACGCUGGGGGUGCCAGCAGCCGAUCCUGCACCCUUUCCCCUAUCGGUCGAGAGGUUUCCCUCUGCAGGUGUUUCCCUUUCCGUUGCCACCCAUCAAGGACGGCGCAGUCGACGGUAUUCGGCUGGGGCUGGUUGGUAUGGAAGAGAACACGGCCUCGGGGAGUGUGGAGGAUAGGUGUUGGGGCUUUGCUCUUCCCCAGAAUCCUCACCUUCAGGACGGCCAUGAUCUCCGAUUCAAACUGAGAUCAGCAGAUGAAACUGUUACUGUGAGAAAUAGGCGUGCUCUACAAUCUCCUCGAUUCGAUGAUGGCAACGUCUCAGAAUGGCUCGAGAGAUUUAUGGGCUCCGGGACCAGGAAUAUGGGAGCUGGAACCAAGGAGCGCAGGAGGGAUUUGAUCCACCUCUUUGUUCAGGGGAUCGUCGCAAGACGAUGUCCAAGCUGGAAGAGCUCGCUUCGCUGGAGCUAGAACUUUCGCUUCGGCCUUUCUACAGCCUCGAGCUCGGAUGACGGGUCCCUUCAAAUAGUCGCUGACCUCGUCAGAUAGAAGCCUCCUCGGCCUAAGGACCUGGUACUUGGAUCUGGAGGCGGGCGGAGAACCGAGAUGAGAACGGGCCGUCCCUGACGGAGCGGCCGGCGGGAAUUGGGUGUAUCGGUUACAACGGCGGACGUAACCUAGCAAAAUCAGAGACUUUGCGGGGAGCGUCACAAUUGUUACAGCACUUAUUGCAGCACGAACACCGAUCGAUCUCCUCCAAAACGUCUGUUGAAUCUGCAAAAGAGUGAACCGGACACAACAGUCAGGGUAACCGUUUGCAGAAAGAGAGGGGCGAAUGAAUUGACAAAGGAUAUCGCAAGGAGAAGCCACGCCGGUUCUCACCAACAGGGACAGAACCAUCGUGCCUAGGACAACCGCGAAGGGGUCGGUUCGUUGAAGGGAAAUCCUGACCCCGAGGAGACCCAAAUGAAGUCAUUCAAAAUACUGCUCCUUGUCCAGAGAGUCCGUUAAAACCAACCUCGUUUGAGGCCUUGAUUGGCUUCCUCAGGCGAAAAGAUAGUGAUUGCUUCGAGCAUUGGUCUCAGGGUUCUUCCUAGGCUUACCAUCGCAGUACACAUGAAAAAGAUCAUCGCGGUGAACUAACUCUAAUCCUUCUCUCUGAUCAAAGCCUCAACCGCCCAGCACGGUUCAAACAAAGUUUACAGAGACUUGCAUGAAGGUGAGCUCGCAGGUAAGAAAGGACGGAUCUCAAGGUUUGCUGAGGGGGGAAAUCGAAAGAAGCACGGCUUGGGAAAUGAACCAGGUUCCGAAUGGGCAUCCGUCGCCCUCUCCCUUCCACCCAAUCCGCCUCAUCGUUUGACCGGGCCUCUAUCAUACAUCGUCAGGGAUCUGAUGGUCGACACGGAAUUGGGCUAAGGCCUCGAUAUCGCGAACAAGCAUUUGAGCCCGAUUCAAAGCCAUGUUCCUGAAAGUGGAAGGCAGAAGGGUCAGAGGGCUUAAAGCCCCCCCAGAAGAGCGAGGUCGAACUAGAAAACCCUAAAUUACUCCAGUCGGGUUUGACCCGGACCCUAUUCAGUGAUGUAAGACGACGGACUACGACGGAGAUUUGAAAGCGUUCUAAGCGAAAUGUACAAAAGAGGCCAAGGAAAAUAGGUGACUUGAACGUACCAGAUGGGGGCGCUAUUCCGACGCGUUGUAACCGUUAUAAUCACAGCUGCCCGAAAAGGUGCAGAGGACGCAAAGCUACGAUCUCGUUCUCUCUCUAAAACAAGUGCUGCAACGAUGAAAAAGUGAGAAAUAGAAAGCCUAAAAAGGAAUCGAAGAGGGCAGGGAAAUGGGAAAUGAGCCACGCGGGCACAGGGACGCAUCGUUUUGCGAGCAAAGAACCGUCAUGACAAAAUCCAAUGGAUACUGACAGGAUGGCAUCCAUAUAACAGCACCUAAGGGGAACGAACCGGAGGCGAGGCGCCGAAUGCUGCUCCCCCAUAUGUGGAAACACCCAGCACGGUAGAAGAGCACCGAGGUGGAUACAUUAAAGCCUGAACAUCCAUCUUGCCAGCGCGGUGAGUAACAACACGAGCCCAAGCAAACGGGGGGCUACGUAGGGACAUGAGAAAUGAAUAAGUUCCAAGGCUAUAGAAGCACGGAGAGAUGAAACUGGAAAGCCUUCACCACUAUACAGGGGCUGUUCAUCUCGUGCCGCAAGGUCUGCGUCAAAGAAAACAAUAUCAUACCGUUGCGGACGCGCUCGGGAAAAGUACAGGAGCCAGCCCUAUCCGAGCUCGGGGAAUACCACUUGCAUUUGACGAUCGCGCUUCGGUAGCACCUGAGCUCGGUAUGCACAGAGCUGUUGGAAUCUGACGUUGACACGAGACAGUGUAAUGCUGUUGCAGAACGGAAGGAAAAGAUGCCAGGCCCUAAUCCAGGGUGAGGAAACCCAUGAAAGCAGGAAGGAUAGCCAACUCCUUGCAGGGAGGAGAGUGGGUCAAGCUACCAAAUGUCAGGGGACAGAUGGCGUGUGGGAACACGCGCCAAGUAUAUAAAGUUAACUACAUAAGCAGAGACUACGGUAGAGGUGAGGGAGGUCUGAGGACUGCUUCUUCUUUCUCCUUCUUCUGGUCUUUCUGAAGGAAAAAACGAUCGUUUACGGGAUUGAGCUUUGUUUUUUUUGUCAGGUCAACUAAACUUGACCGUCGGAGAGCCGUUUCCCGGAAACCGCUCCGGGCGGCCACACUUACUUGUUGAAUUGCAGAUACAGGAGGAGGACGGACUAUCGUGGAGCAUUCUCAAAGUGAAGGUUGGAUAAGUUCGCUGCCUGGGUCAUCCCCUUCGAUUCGACAUUAACAAACUAACCCCCACAUAUUCCAUGGAAAAAGUUCCAUAAGAAUCCACGGGAUUUUCAUUGAAUCGAAUAUUUGUGAUCGGGACUCCCAAAACUCUAUGUUGGUUUCUUCCAUUCCAUGCGUCGAUUUGGGAAAGAUUUUAUACUCCAAAAAGUAUUUUAACUCUUCCGUCGGAAGCCUAAACCAAAAACAGUGUAAACACAAAGAUCCACAAAUAUGUUGCAACCAAAAACAGUGUAACACAAGAUCCAUAAAUCAGAAAAAAAAUGGGGGACGUUGCGUAGCAGUACCACCAAUGAAAACAAAAACAAGCAGCAAGAAAUAAGAUCUCUUUCUUGUCUUCUUUUUUCUUCCCUUAAGAACAUAUAAGGACAAAAUAUUCACUAGUUUUUCUGCACUUCAUUAAAUAAAAAUUCAUGACAGUAUUAUUUUUUAUUUUUUUAAUUUUAUUUAAAUUUUUGAAAAUAUGGGAUUUGACAGGCGAGAGGAUGCAAAGGAGCGAAAGAGAGAAAAAUAUUUGAGAAAAGUAUGGAAAAAUCCCAGAUUGGACCUGCUAACAAAUUAAACUCUAUAAUUUCAAUGGAUAAAAAAU